GUUUUAGGGAUUAGCUAGAUAUUUAGUUUCGACCUAAGAUGUGAAAGGCUAGAAUA
rnacentral:tRNA from 1 species